GGUGGGGAAACGCCAGCUGGUGUCUCUCCAACAUCCCUGAUGAGUGGAGUGUUCAGUCUGUAAAGUGCUGCGCUGGAGGGAGAAGAUCAGCGUAGAUCCUCAUGAGACAUUAAAACAGAAGUGUUGGAGAACAGGAAAUCAGGUCACAUGCUGAUCUUCCUGCAGGUCUUCCUGAGAUCACGGCCCAGGCUCUCCGCUGGCCCGAACACGCAGUUUCAGACAGGAAGGAAAAUCUGGAAGGGUGGGUCUGAGGCUAAGAGAGGAAUUGGGAAGCCAUGAUAAGCGACACCUUUUCCCAUACUGCUCUUCUCAACAUGCUACCUUCUAAUAACAUUGAGUAUUUCUACAUCAAUUCAGAGGAAUGUAUUUUCUGAAGUAAGGCAGAAUAAAUGACAAGUAAAUCUCUAAAGUGGGUUGAGGUUUAAGAGACCAAACGUGGAAAUCUGGAAGUCCUGGGAUCUGAACUGACAACCUGCUGGUCAAAAGAACGUUUACUGAACGUUUACUGAACGUUUACUGUCAUGUUUCCCUUCAC